rnacentral:rRNA from 1 species
CCUACGGGUGGCAGCAGUGAGGAAUAUUGGUCAAUGGACGAGAGUCUGAACCAGCCAAGUCGCGUGAAGGAUGACUGCCCUAUGGGUUGUAAACUUCUUUUAUAAAGGAAUAAAACGAGGCACGUGUGCCUUUUUGCAUGUACUUUAUGAAUAAGGAUCGGCUAACUCCGUGCCAGCAGCCGCGGUAAUACGGAGGAUCCGAGCGUUAUCCGGAUUUAUUGGGUUUAAGGGGAGCGUAGAUGGGUUGUUAAGUCAGUUGUGAAAGUUUGCGGCUCAACCGUAAAAUUGCAAUUGAUACUGGCAGUCGUGAGUACAGUUGAGGUAGGCGGAAUUCGUGGUGUAGCGGUGAAAUGCUUAGAUAUCACGAAGAACCCCGAUUGCGAAGGCAGCUUACUAAACUGUGACUGACAUUGAUGCUCGAAAGUGUGGGUAUCAAACAGGAUUAGAUACCCUGGUAGUC